AUAUCACUAAGCGGAGGAAAAGAAAUUAACUAAGAUUGCCUCAGUAACGGCGAGUGAAGCGGCAAGAGCCCAAAAUGUAAAUCUUCACGCUGCGCGUGACGAAUUGUAAUCUAAAGAUGGUUCGCUCAACGGGUGGUGGCGCAGAAGUGCCUUAGAACGGGCCGCCAGAGAGGGUGACAGCCCCGUAUGUGGUGCCACUGCCUAACGAGCGGGUUAUCAAAGAGUCGGGUUGUUUUGUAUUGCAGCCCUAAGUGGGAGAUAAACUUCUUCUAAGGCUAAAUAUAUAUGGGAAACCGAUAGCGAACAAGUACUGUGAAGGAAAGAUGAAAAGAACUUUGAAAAGAGAGUCAAAAGACUUGAAAUCGUUGAGAAGGAAGCGGUAGGAAUUUAUUCUUCGGCGGAGGACGGUGGCGUCUGCCUAACCAUUGAUGGUCGUUAGUACUGUAUAAGGCUGCGGCUGUCACUUGGGGAAGCGGGCGUUUUGCCCUCCGUCGUGAGGCAAGAUGGGAUCGUGUUCCCGCAGAGGCUUCUCCAACCUGGCCUGAUUCGUUGGGCAGUUGGAGUGCGCUGGCGGGCAUGCGGUCUGAGGAAGCUUCGUGCGAUCUUGCCAAAAUGGUUCUUACCGA
rnacentral:rRNA from 1 species